rnacentral:rRNA from 1 species
UCAGUAAUGGCGAAUGAACAGGGAUCAGCUCAGCAUGGAAAUCGGGGCCUAUGGCCUUGAAUUGUAGUCUCGAGAAGCAUUGCCAACGGAGGCGCAGAUGUAAGCCUCUUGGAAAAGAGCAUCAACGAGGGUGAGAAUCCCGUUUGUCAUCUGCAGUCCCCCGUGCACGGUGUGCUUUCUAAAGAGUCACGUUCCUCGGGAUUGGAGCGCAAAGUGGGUGGUAAAUUUCAUCUAAAGCUAAAUAUAGGUUCGAGACCGAUAGCAAACAAGUACCAUGAGGGAAAGGUGAAAAGGACUUUGAAAAGAGAGUUAAAAGUGCCUGAAAUUGCUGAAAGGGAAGCGAAUGGAACCAGUGUUGCUUGGCAAGAUUGGUGCGUGCUAUUGUGAUUGCCUGCUUCAUCAGCGCAAGCGAUGUUGUGGGUUUUGAUCAGGACGUGCGUGUUGUUUCUUGCCUUGUGUGUCAACGUCAGUUCUCAAUCGAGGAAAACGCCAGGGACAUGGUAGCCUGGGUGCGCUUGGGUGAAUGUGCUUGGUUGAACUCAUUUGUGAACUGUUUCCUGCGUGUCUGGUUGCAGUGCUCUGCGUCCUUGGGACUCUGAGUGGGCUUCGGUUUGCUCAGACGUUCUGGGUGACAGGGAGUAUCUCCCUGACACAACGACGCUGACUAAAUGGUUCUAUUCGACCCGUCUUGAAA